ACCUGUUUGGCUUUUUGUCUAAGAGCUUCCACAAGACUGUGCAAAAACUCUUGCGCCUUUUGUUCCUGCUCUGGUACAUUAUUAUCGAUGGCUUCACCCCUGAAGAAUAAUGUUGUAUAAUUCAUAAUGAGUUAUCAGAUUAAUUAAGUUGUACAUCCUUAAUUGCUAUUAUCAAACAAAACUUUAGAAGUAUAUUUUGCAUUUUAG